UACGUAGGGGGCAAGCGUUGUCCGGAAUCAUUGGGCGUAAAGAGCGUGUAGGCGGCUCGGUAAGUCCGCUGUGAAAGUCCAGGGCUCAACCCUGGAAUGCCGGUGGAUACUGUCGGGCUAGAGUCCGGAAGGGGCGAGUGGAAUUCCUGGUGUAGCGGUGAAAUGCGCAGAUAUCAGGAGGAACACCAAUGGCGAAGGCAGCUCGCUGGGACGUGACUGACGCUGAGACGCGAAAGCGUGGGGAGCAAACAGG
rnacentral:rRNA from 1 species